rnacentral:rRNA from 1 species
GGACCGGUGGGUUGGUCGUGCUUUUGUACGUACUGGCCCUACAGGUUCCUCUCUUCUGAAGAACCAUGAUGCCAUUAAUUUGGUGUUGUGGGGAAUCAGGACUGUUACUUUGAAAAAAUUAGAGUGUUUAAAGCAGGCUCACGCUUGAAUACAUUAGCAUGGAAUAAUGAAAUAGGACGUUUGAUUCUAUUUUGUUGGUUUCUAGGAUCGACGUA